CGCCGGGAAUCGUGGUUGCCCGACUCAAGUCGCCCGCGCGUGUCGCGGAGCCCCGCGGCAGUUGUGGUUGGGUGGCUUCUGUGAUCCAAGGAGGAAUGAGCCAAAUUGCUACAGAAGUUGAGUCAACCCACUGCCCUCAAAUCCUGAGAUGUAUUCCCAGUGGGAAAAGGAACACUCCUUCAGGACUUUGUACCCCAAAUUCCACGAGACCCACAGACACCCUCAGCCCAGCCCAGCUCCAGGACAGACCAUAAUGAAAGAUGCUUUACCUUGAAAACUAAAUGGACAGGACUUGAUCACAAAGCAUCACCUCUCCCCUGGACUCCAGAGGAUCGUUCCUAACUGCUUACUUGACACAUCUAUUAGGUAUCUCAAACUGGAAGGUCUAAAACUGAACUCUCCCUCCUCCAUAAUCUGCCUCCCCUUAGCCUUCCCUUUGUCAGUAAAUGAUGAGUUUUUUCCUUCUAUUGCUCAGGUCAAAAAAUCCUUUUUGUGGCUCAUUUACUUCUUGCACAUCAACAAAUCCUAUUAACUCUACCUGCAAAAUAUACCCAGAAUUCAAAUCUUGCUUGCCACGCGGCCUGUUGCCAUCCAGUCCACCAACGUGGCUUGCAGCACCUCUCAACUGUUCUCUCUGCCUUACUCUUGUGUUCUAUAUUCUACCCUCCACACGCAGCCAGAGGAUCCUUUUUGUUUUUCUUUCUUGAGACAGU
rnacentral:lncRNA from 1 species